rnacentral:tRNA from 1 species
GCUGGGAUGUAGUGCAGUGGUACAGCUCUUUCCUAGUGUGCAUGAGGCCCUGGCUUCAAUCCCCAGCACAGCA